CUGCCAGACUGCUCUAAGUGCUUUAUUUGUAUGAACUGAGUUAAUUUGAACAAAAACUUUAGGGCUAGAUACUAUAUUCCCUUUUCACAACAAAGUCACUUGCUUCUGCUUUUACUCCUGCUUUUGGCAACACAGUGACUCUGCAAACUGUCUUGUGCCCAGAGGAAACAUUUUUCUGAAAGCUUCUGAGCUGGGGCAGAUUUAGGGUGAAAUUAACACUUCAAAAAAAUCUCCAGUAAUUGAGUAAAUUGCUCAUCUGACAAAUUGGCUUUUUGGGAAAUUAGUCUGCGUGCACAUAUUGAUAGCAAAGCUCGGCCAACUUGAAAUAUGGAGAUUUACUGGAAAUCACAGUGAAAUGAAGAGAGAGGCAAGAGCAGAAUUGAAAUUCCCACCUGGCAGCAAAAGAGAGUUAUGCAGAGCAUACCAGGACAAGACAGAAGACAUGACAUUUGUGGGAACUACCACAUUUAGAAGAGGCAGCUCUCCUCCAGGAUUCACCUCCAAACUUUUUCGAAUGCUUCCUGUGAAAAAGUCUUGUUAAGGAUGGUCUUAUUUUUUUAAUUGGGAAUUAUUUUCUCACUGGUUAUUGCCAAACUAAAAAUCUUGGGAAUUUCA